CCGAAAACAUACUGGUGGCUAAACAGUCUAAACGAAGCGAGACCCACGUCGCACGCCCGAGCGUUCUCGGUGUACGCGUUCGAGGUUCUAACCCCGUGAAAGAAAUUUGCGUUAUGCGAAGUCGGGCGAGGGGCGCCUCGCCGAGCGUGCGCGUUUUUUUUGGCGCGCGCGUUCCAAUCAAAGCGUACCCACUUUCAACCCCACUAAACUCUGAAUCUGAACUAAAAAGGGGGGUGGUAAGUCGCCUUAACCGGCGCGCGCCCCCUCAACCUUUAACGUU
rnacentral:misc_RNA from 1 species